GAAAUGCGAUAAGUAGUGUGAAUUGCAGAAUUCAGUGAAUCAUCGAAUCUUUGAACGCACAUUGCGCCCCUUGGUAUUCCAUGGGGCAUGCCUGUUCGAGCGUCAUUUGUACCCUCAAGCUCUGCUUGGUGUUGGGUGUUUGUCCCGUCUCCGCGCGUGGACUCGCCCCAAAGUGAUUGGCAGCCGGCGUACUGGUCCCGGAGCGCAGCACAUGUCGCGCAGACGAGUGCCUUGGUACGGCGGCGUCCAUAAGCCCCUCUCUCACGCUCUUGACCUCGGAUCAGGUAGGGAUACCCGCUGAACUUAAGC
rnacentral:misc_RNA from 1 species